rnacentral:rRNA from 1 species
CGCACCUACCGAUUGAAUGUUUCGGUGAAGAUUCCGGACCGGAACUUGAGCGCUUCGCGGCGCACUGGCGAAGGGAAGUUAUCUAAACCUCAACAUUUAGAGGAAGGUGAAGUCGUAACAAGGUUUCCGUAGGUGAACCUGCGGAAGGAUCAUUA